rnacentral:rRNA from 1 species
UACGUAGGGUGCAGGCGUUAAUCGGAAUUACUGGGCGUAAAGCGUGCGCAGGCGGUCUUGCAAGACAGAGGUGAAAUCCCCGGGCUCAACCUGGGAACUGCCUUUGUGACUGCAAGGCUAGAGUACGGCAGAGGGGGAUGGAAUUCCGCGUGUAGCAGUGAAAUGCGUAGAUAUGCGGAGGAACACCGAUGGCGAAGGCAAUCCCCUGGGCCUGUACUGACGCUCAUGCACGAAAGCGUGGGGAGCAAACAGG